AACUUUUGGCAAUAGAUCACUCGGCUCGUGGAUCGAUGAAGAACGCAGCUAGCUGCGUUAAAUAGCGCGAAUUGCAGACACAUUGAGCGCUAAAAUUUCGAACGCACAUUGCGCCAUCGGGUUCAUUCCCGUUGGCAUGCCCGUCUGAGGGUCGGAUACCCUAUGUCACCGACAUUCCUAUCGCUAGGAUGUUGACGCAAAGGUCGUAUGUUUGCGCGCAAGUCCCUAGUGGAAGUGUCGUCGGUUGGUCGGAGCGCUACCUCACCGUACCGCUCUUAGAUGAAAUUGUUCGCAAGAACUUGCGUAUAUUCUACGUACGCAACGCUUCGAUAACUAUGGUGGCUUCGGCCGGUUCGCGCAAGAAUCGAAAGGCCUAUAGCCGCCGUCGAGCGUACUUCAUCAAUUGACCUCAGAUCGGACAUGACUACCCGCUGAAUUUAAGCAUAUCAAUAAGCGGAGGCU
rnacentral:misc_RNA from 1 species